rnacentral:rRNA from 1 species
CGCCAGACUCCUACGGGAGGCAGCAGUGGGGAAUAUUGCACAAUGGGGGAAACCCUGAUGCAGCGACGCCGCGUGAGCGAUGAAGUAUUUCGGUAUGUAAAGCUCUAUCAGCAGGGAAGAAGAUGACGGUACCUGACUAAGAAGCCCCGGCUAACUACGUGCCAGCAGCCGCGGUAAUACGUAGGGGGCAAGCGUUAUCCGGAUUUACUGGGUGUAAAGGGGGCGUAGACGGCAUGGCAAGUCAGAUGUGAAAGCCCGGGGCUCAACCCCGGGACUGCAUUUGAAACUGUCAGGCUGGAGUGCAGGAGAGGUAAGUGGAAUUCCUAGUGUAGCGGUGAAAUGCGUAGAUAUUAGGAGGAACACCAGUGGCGAAGGCGGCUUACUGGACUGUAACUGACGUUGAGGCUCGAAAGCGUGGGGAGCAAACAGGAUUAGAUACCCCUGUA